rnacentral:tRNA from 1 species
UGAGCUGUGGCUCAGUGGUAGAGCAUUUGCUUAGCAAGUAUCAGGUACUGGGUUCAAUCCCCAGUACCACAA